UUGGCCCAUUCAGUGACGGUCCAAGAGUUGGCCAAGGAUGAGAACAACAAAGCGGCACUUGGUGUUUGCCAAGAGGUGUUGGACUUAGCCAUUGAUGACUUUCAAAAGUCUUUCGACGUGUUAGGGGAAUACGACAUGAGCAAGAUCGGAAAAUACCUUUUGGAACUGAAGACCUGGCUAAGCGGUGCAUUCACGAGUCAACAGACAUGUAUAGACUCAUUCGCGCAAUCAAGUAACGAAUCAUCGCAGAAGAUGCAAUCAAUCUUGAAGACUAGCAUGGAGAUCACUAGCAAUGCUUUGGCGAUGCUUAAUGGGUUAUCCACCAUCGUAAAGGAACUUAACAUUCCAAACGUCGGCAACAUCGACAGCACGGGGUUCAAUCGUAAGCUUUUGUCGGCUGAGGAUAUGCCUGAGUGGAUUAGUCAAGCUGACCGAAAACUCCUUCAAGCAAAACCAAUGGAUUUGAAGCCUAACGUUGUGGUUGCUAAAGAUGGUAGUGGGAAAUAUGAUACUAUUAACAAGGCAUUGGCUGAAGUCCCCGUGAAAAGUCCCGAUCGAUUUGUUAUUCACAUUAAGGCUGGUACUUACAAGGAAAAAAUCAACGUGACCAAGCAGAUGAUUAAUGUUGUAUUCAUCGGUGAUGGCCCAACCAAAACCAUCAUCACAAAUGACAUUAGCGUUGCUAAAAAUCCACCGGUUAGAACAUACCGCACUGCAACUGUUGGUAAGUAGUAUUAUAGACAUAUAUAAGUUUUGGUGGUGUGGUGAGGUGAGGUGGCUAACUAAUAUAUAUGUAUGUAUGUUUGUGAAAUAUUUUAGGUGUGGAUGGGGCUGGUUUCAUGGCCAAGGACAUUGGAUUCGAUAACUCAGCAGGACCCGAAGGUCAUCAAGCAGUGGCUUUUAGGGCAACUGCUGAUAGGGUCAUCAUGUUCAACUGCCAUUUCACUGGGUACCAAGACACUCUUUAUGCUCAUAGAGAGAGACAGUUAUAUACCAACUGUCUCAUUACUGGAACGGUGGAUUUCAUCUUCGGGGAUGCGGCGAGCAUUUUCCAGAACUGUAUGCUCAUCGUGAGGAAGCCAGGGCCUGGCCAAAAUUGCAUGGUUAUUGCACAGGGCAGGAAUGAUCUUGGAACAAACUCAGCCAUUGUGCUUCAAAACUGCACCAUCUCGGGCGCCCCUGAUUACAUCCCAGUGAAGGAUACAAACAAGGCAUACUUGGGGCGUCCCUGGAAACAAUUCGCUAGGUCUAUCAUAAUGCAAUCUCAAAUCGACGACAUCAUUCAACCAGAGGGUUAUGCCCCAAUGACAGGUACCAUAGGAAUAGACACUUCUUUCAUUGCCGAGUUUGGAAAUAGGGGACCCGGUGCUGAUACCAGCCGUAGGGUAGCAUGGAAAGGUAUAAAAAAGAUAGAUAUAAAUGAAGCCAACAAAUGGACUCCUCGCAUCUAUCUUGAAUCUGAGACUUGGAUUCCGAGUUCCGGCGUUCCCUAUAGUCCCAACAUGGUCCCUGGAGUUUAAACAGCUUAUUAUUGAUACCAACGCCAUUAGUAUGCUUAUUAUCAUAUCAUUGUUCUAAUUAUGUCGUUUUUAACUAAUUAAUUAAACAGUUUUUUUAAUCUUUUAUCUAUCUAUGUAUAUAUGUUGAAUUCUUUGGUUUCCCAAUUGUUGUUUCCACUCACUUGAUGUUUGCAAAACCCAAAAAUUAAGUCAACAUUUAAAUAUUAUUGAACUUAAUUUAAUAUAAUUUUUUAAAGAUUAUUUGGAUUGAUAAUGUUGUUUCCCUAAUGUAGACACCUUCCUUUAAAUAGAUUUAAUAAAAUGAUUAUUAUCAAACUUAAUUACAAGAUUUAAUAAAAAUAGUUUAUUAAGCAACAAUUACUAAUAUAAUAUUAAAAAUUAAUAAAAACAAUUAUAUUAUAAAAAAUCAAUCUUAUUUUUUUUAUAUAUAUUUUAUAUAUGGACUUAAGUAAGCAUCCCGCUCAUGGAAUCAAAGAUUUGAUCAAGUGGUAAAGAUUUUUUAACUUGAGCAAAACAAAGAAGAACAUUGUGUUUAUAAAUAUUUAGAGGAUGAAAAGGUGGUCUUUCUCUUUCUAUAUGUCAAGUGAAAUUCCACUAGUUGAGAAUAAUGUAGGGAUAUUGUAACACCCCAUAUCCGUAACCCAAGCCGGGACGGAGUACAAGGCAUUACCUACUUGAUCUCGUACAUUCAAUCCAUUUUAAGUCACCAAGACUCGGUCCAAUUUAAAACAUUUUCAAUUUCUACUUUAAACCUCUUAAUAUAGGCCUAUGAGGCCUAGAUCGACCAUUGGAAACCGUUCGAAAUUUUUCCAGGUCCUUAUCCAAUCUAUGUAAACUUUGCAUUUAAAACAGGGCACACGCCCGUGUGGGAAGGUAACACGCCCGUGUAAUCAUCCUAACAUGGCCGUGUUGAUGACCCGUGUGUUUUACACGGCCUAAACAUCUAGGGACAUGCCCGUGUCCCUUACCCUUGUGGCCAAUUAUUUACACCAUUUUACAAAAUUCAAGUGUAGACUUCACACGGCCUAGACACACACCCGUGUCCCUGGCCCGUGUUGCUCACACGGCCUUGACACACCCGUGCCUUAGCCCAUGUGAGAAAGCUUGAGUAUUCUAUUUCUGACGUCAGCAUACCCACCAUGUCACACGGCCAUAGCACACGCCCGUGUGCUAGGCCAUGUUCUCCAUACGGCUGAGUCACACAGCCGUGUCUCUGCCCGUUUGUUUAUUACCAUGCAUACUGACUUGAAAUUUUUACGUGCAGGGGACACACAGCCUCAUCACACACCUAUGGGGCUAACCGUGUGUCACACACGGCUUAGACACACGCCCGUGUGCCUACCAGUGUGGACAAAAUAAGGCUAUUUACCAAGCCUAUUUGCCACCCCUACCGAUAUAAAUUAACACAAACUCAACCAACACCAAUUCUAGCCUAUACCAUACAACCACUUCAACUACUAUAGACAUUCUUUCAUAAGGCAAUUUACUCAAACCAGGAAAUAUCAUCUUUGCAUAUGAUCAAAAUGAGUGAUAGUCAACAUCAAGGCUAAAUACAAAGUGUGGGGCUUAUCCCAAGCCUACACCUCUAACCAAUGCUUAAGGGCACAAAAUAAUCAAAUCUAAGCCUUAUACAUGCCAUAUUCAAAAAUAUAAAUCCAAUUAUACCGAAGGUUUUGGACGAUAGUGUGAUCGAUAUCUCUGACUCCAAGUGAUCCUUGAGCUAAUUAGGCGACACUAUAAGAAAAUGGAAAGAAAAAGAGGGUAAGCAUAAAAGCUUAGUAAGUUGCAUAUAAAUAAACAUACAACAACAAUUCAUCAAUAGUUGUCAUGCUCAUAACACAAGGAUAAGCAUAAGUAUGACUUACUCAUUACCACCCAUACAAGUCAUGUGCUCUCCAAUGAGCUCAUUUCUCAUAUGUACCAAUUUGGUACUUGUAUCACUUACAACAUGGUUAUGCUUCCAUCAUUAACUAGCAAGCAUACUUGCACCAUUGAACCAAUGGGUACACUACUGGUCAUUCUAUAAACCUUGAUCUAGGGAUAAAGUGCCGAUGCUAUGUCCCAGACAUAGUCUUACACUGGCUCAAAUCUCAAGUCGAUGCCAUGUCCCAGACAUGGUCUUACACUGACUAUCAUUAUCGAGGCCGAUGCGUGUCCUCGACACGUCUUACUCUAGCCCUCGUAUCAAUGUCGAUGCCAUGUCCCGGACAUGAUCUUACACUGGCUCUCAUAAUGUGGCCGAUACAUUUUCCAGACAUGUCUUACACUAGCUCACAUAAGGGACCCGGAUGUCUCAGUUUGAACAUCCGGUUCAUUUCCUAGUAUUUUAAAGGAAUCUCUGCCAUCUCAUUGUUCUUAUGCAUUCUCAAUACUUAAUUAAGCAAUUCAUGCUAUAUCCAUUCCAUAACAAUUAGACACCUAUUUUAUUGAUAUAGUUGCAUUAUUUACAUACAACUUACCUCAGUUUACAAAAUGUACUCGACUAGUUGGUUUAGUCGAUUUGCUUGGCUUUCCCCUGGUCUAGAUUCGGUUUUUGAAAAACUUGAUCUAGAAUAAAAAAUGCGGUCGUUUAGUCACUAAUUAUAAUUAGGCUACUGUAAAUUCACAUAUUUGAUAAAAUGACCAUUUUGCCCUUAGACUUUGGCAAAAUGACCAUUUUACCCCUAUGAUCGAAAAUUAAUUUUUAUCAAAUUUAUUCGUAUUUCAAGCCUAGCCGAACUCUUUCUACUCUUGUAGAAACCCCAAAAUCCCACUAUUUCACACACUUAUCACCUAUUUUGCAACUUAUGCAAAAUAGCCCAUUUAGGUGUUUUCAUGCUAACACCUUUCACAAAAGUUGUUAAGAAAUCUUCUAAGACUCAUAUUCUUCCAUAAAAACUCAGAAAACAUCACAAGUCCAUCCAUGAAAAAACCCUAAACUCUUAAUCAUUUUUCAAAAUAGUCCCCUCAUAUGAAAGCUCAUGCUUUAGGGGUUCCAAAAAUAUAAAAAUCAUCAACUAAGGACAUGGAAAUCACUUACUUGUUGAGGUGAUAAGUUGCUGAAAUUUCAAAGCUUCAAAACCCCUCUUUUUUUGAUAUUUUCGGUGGAGAGAAGGUGUGGAGAAGAAAGAAAAUAAUAGCUAAGCUCAUAGGUAUUAUUUUAUCACAAAAUUAUGUCAUCAAGCCACCUAAUAUUGACCUUUUUUACUAAACUUGUCUCCUAUGGUCGGCCACCUUUUUUCUAGGGUCUAAUUUCUCUUUAAAGGCCCUCAAUUUUAGUUCUCUAGCUAUUUAACACAUUUGGGGUACUAAAAUGCAACUUUUUCCCUUUUUGCGAUUUAGUCCCUUUUAGCAAUCGGGCUCGCAAAUAUCAAAAUUAACUCACCAAAUUUUUCAUACACUAAUAUAAUCAUGUUAUAACCUUAUAAUAAAAAUAAAAAUAAUUUUCCAAACUUCAAAUUUAUGGUCCCGAGACCACUGUUUCGAUUAGGCUCUAAAUCGGGCUGUUACAGAUAUUGUCAUCGUUUAAACUAUAGUUAACCCAACAGUUUAGGAUGAAGGACUUGGAAGAAGCUAAUUUUGUUCUCAGUAUUCAAAUUCUAAGGGAUUGAAAGAACAAAGUGAUGGCACUAUCGCAAGAUUCACACAUAGGCAAUAUAUUGUAGCGCUAUGUUAUAACUGAUUCGAAGAAAGGUAAUCAAUCUUCUAAUAUCGAGAAUUCACCUCUUUUUGAGGGAUUGUCCUAAGAUAUCAGAAGAAAAUGAGAACAUAAGAAGGGUUCAUUAUGCUUCAACAAUAGGAAGUCUCAUGUAUGCUAUGUUGUGCAUGCAAUCGGAUAUCUAUUUUACAGUAGGUUUGGCGAGUCGAUAUCAGGUGAAUCCAAGACUAAGACACUGACAAAUAGUUAAUACAGUUAAUAAUGAUCAAUUAAUAGAAAAUAUUAGGUUUUGCUGCUGGACUCGUCCGUCAGCUUAGUCAAGAUGCAUUGAUAGGCUACUUGUAGUUCAUUUCUAUUUGUAUUAGUCAAACACCCAUCAUGCCAUUCUAUCUAUCUAGGAUUGUUUCUUUCUCUAAAUUUACCUUUUCAGCCUACUUUAAUGACUGACAACUCUUUUCAUAGGUCACAAUGAUUGAUGAUUUGCAAUGCCACAUGAUUACACAACCACAGUAGCCUGCACUUAGCAUUUUUUGCCUCGUAAGAAAGGUGAAAAGUAUGGUUUAAACUUGUCACUUAUCAUGUCUCUACUUGUGUCGUUGCUCCAAACUGGCUUUUCAGAUAUACUCGAGGUAAUGGUUGGCACAGGUGUUGCUAAAUGAAUUAGCAAGGGAAUUUGUACUAAACUUCCUAAAUACCAGAUCUGAAAAAUUUUAAGUUCUUCAAUUCUUGGUUUACUGCAUUGCUUCAUUCGUUGACGACAUGUCUCUUGCAAUGUUAGUGCACUCUGCGAUGCUUGCCGUUCAACAUCUAUACUUGUUAACUGCCCAACUUGAUUGAGUCAUUCUAUAUAAGCAUAAGUUCUAUCUAUCUAUCUAUCUAUAUAUAUACAUAUUUCCAAUUUUGUUUAACAUCCAGAAAAUUCCUUGACCUUCAAAUCCCCAAGGUUCAUGGUUAAAGUCUAAAGGCAUGCAAAGCCUAAUCAAUUCAAGUUUAUCAAUUGGGUCUAUUAUUUUUUUCCAUUUUUGCCUUAAAAAUUCUUGUAUCAAUAGACACUCUUCUACUAGCUCGACCUUAAUUACCAAUGUUUCUAUUGGUUGAUUUGCAUUAUGCUGCUACUGUAUUUCAAAUUUAUUGGUACAAUCCAAUGGUUCUAAGACAAUGAGUUCCAUGAUGGUCUAAUUCUUUAGCUUGCUAGCCAUUUUCCCCACUAGCUCUAUGUCUUCCCCUUCUGUAGUGGUGUUCAACUCAUUUAGAUACUUUUUUGUCUGCUGAUAUGAGUAAUAGUCUAGGAGUUCUCCUUCUUCACAAGCGUCUAUAAUGUCAUUCUCUUCUUUUCUCAACUUCGGACUUAGCACAUCAUGGUACCUUUCUGAUGGUAUAUCAAUAUGGUUGUUAUUAUCUUGGGAAAGAUCUAGGGUUUCUCUUCGAAGUUGACUUAAUUCGAGUAAGAGUAAUCAUUGAAUCUCUUGGAUCUCCUAAUCUUCAUACACUCCUUCUUCGUAAGUAUUUUGAUCAUAAUCAAAGUCUUCGUCGAACCACGUAUAAUAAAAAUAAUCCAUGGCUUUGUGCUGACUGGUUGUUUUGUGCCUAGGAUUCCUAAGAAUAAACAAAUGUAAUUAACAAAAUAAUUUGAAAGUUGUAACUAUAAACCACAAAUUUCCUAAUUAUUCUUUUAAAAUGAAAAAAAUUAAAAUCAAUCUAGUGACAUUGCCUCCCCGGCAACGGCGCCAACAACUUGACCGCCUUUAGACGUACUAACGCCCAGAGUGUGAAUACUGCAAUAAAAUAGAUAAUUACGAUAUAGUAUCAACAACUAUAUGGGUCGAGUUGUAAUAUAGUUUUUACAAUGAAGUAGGUGAGUACUCCGAUGAUCGUACCCAAGAAAAGCAAGUGUUAGAUUAAUUCUAACCUAAAUACCAAAAGAUCUAAUUAGCACUUUAAAUAAAUUAUAAUAUGAAAGUAUAUAAAAAAGGGUUUUUUAAGGUUUUUAAUAAUAAUAAAAUCAAAUAACAUAAAAGAAAUAAAACUUGUUAGAAUUAAGUGACCCAAAUUCUUAUUUAAAUAAAAUACGAUGGAAAAUAAAAUAAAAGUAAAAUCCAUAUAGAACUAGACUUCUUUUAUUUUAUUUUAGAAUAAGGUUUUUUAAACCUUAUUAAACUUCAUCUAUUUUAUAUUAAUUAGUGUAACAACCCUCGCUCGCAUCCGACGCCGGGACGGGGUUCGAGGUGCUACCUGACUUUUACUAACACUUCCAUACUAAACAGGGCCAUGAAAUCUCAAAUAAUUAAAAACUUUUAUUUUCACAUACAAUCUGUCCCAUAUACGGGCUUACGAGGCCCAAAACAUACAUCCGGAGUGGUUCGGGACCCAACCGAGAACUCAUGAAAAACUUAAAAAAUCUCUUGCAUCAAGGCUUCAUACGCCCGUGUGGGUAUAGAGCACACGCCCGUGUGCUAGGGACACACCCGUGUCCAAAAACCUGGACAAAUACAAGGCUAUUUUCCAAGCCAUUUUGUCACACUCACAAUAGAUACACGCAUGCUUAUACAAUAACAUACAACAUGGCAAAAUUAGGUACUUAAACAUUCCUAACAUGUCAUGAUUAUGGCAAUUUCACAUGCAAUAGAUAUCAUAGAUUUUACUCACAUCUUUACCACAUUCAUACUAUAAUCAUUAUAAACUCAUCACAUAAUACCAUAGCACAUGCAUGCAUAAUUAAAAUAGAUUUACAACCCCAUAAUCAAAAUAGGCCAACACAUAUGAUUAAAGCCAAUCACAUACUCUAAUAUUUAAACUCCUAUACAUGCCGGAGGCUCAAAGUACUUGAAAUCACUACACCAAUAGCGUUAGCUUGACAGUGUGAUAAUAUCUCUGACGGCCUCCAGCUCGAGCUAACUUGGAAACUCUAGAAAACAUGGAAAAGAAGAGGGGGGUAAGCUUUCGCUUAGUAAGUUCAUAUGAAAAUAAUAAGCACUCAUUAACUUGUUUUAUCAAUGUUUACAACAUAUUCUCAAGUUCACUACAAGCUGUCUUUCUGACCAAUGGUCACUAAAUUAUUUAUAUAUGGAGAUACGAAACUCCGAAUUAAGUUCCGUUAAUUUUCCCUGAAACUAGACUUAUUUUAAUUUCUUCCAUAAAAUUUUCAGAAUUUUUGGUUAAGCCAAAUAGUACAGUUUAUUUCUCAAAGUUACCCCUAAUUCACUGUCUGACAGUUCCGACCCUUUUGUACUAAGGUUCAAUUAUCUCAUAGUACAAGACUUGAAUAAUAUUCUCGUCUAUUUCUAUUGAAACUAGACUCAUAUGUAUACUUACUAAUUUUUUUCUAGAAUUUUUGGUCAAGCCAUUUAGUACAGUUUAUUAGUUAAAGUUUCCCCUAUUUCAGGGUAUGACUACUCUGACCCUUGUGCACUACAAACCGAAUUUGUUUUCCUUAAAAAUAUACUCAAUAAGGAAUCCAUGCAUGUAAGUUAUGACUCUUAAUAAUUUUUUUAAAAUUUAUGGUGAAUUUCUAAAGUCAGAACAUGGGAUCUUGAAUUCAUUCAGACCCUGUUUCACAAGAAUUCAAAUAUCACACAAUAUGGAAUUCUUUUUGUUCCCCUAUUUAUUUCAUGUGAAAAUAGACUCAUUAAGCUUUAAUCCCAUAUUUUAUUAUGCCUCUAACUCAUUUUACACUAUUUUUAGUGUAUUUUCAAAGUUACACUACUGCAGUAACUCAAAUCUGUCAAGGCUAAAUUACUCAUUCAUGAUCAUUGUUCACAAAAUUAAUACAACAUCGUUUGUAUAAUAUCACCGAGACAUUCAUAUCACAUUUUCAUUUACCAUCUUACCAUAUUGUUGUUAUGUUGAGUUUUCAACCCAAGGGUUAAGUACAUACCUGUUCAAAGUAUCCAUUUCACAACAUUUAUCAAUACAUCCCUUUCAUCUCGAGUAUUCCUCCAUUUGAGUAGAAUUUUACGUGUUGAACACAUCGGAAUAUAAUUCGGAUACAUGGAAAGUUUGCACAUAAGUGCCACAUAUGUAGCCAAGCUACCAUGUAACCCGCCCAUAAGUGAACUCGGACUCAACUCAACGAGCUCGGGCGUUCGCAUCCAUAAGUGAACUCGGACUCAACUCAACGAGCUCGGAUGCCUAGUUACAUCUCACGAACUCGGACUCAACUCAACGAGUUCGAACGUUCGCAUCCAUAAGUGAACUCGAACUCAACUCAACGAGUUCGGAUGCUCAACCAUCCUAGUGACAUGUCAUUUGUAUCCUAAUCUAUUCCUAAGGUUCAAACGGGAUUUUCCUCGAACACAUAUCCUUGCCAUCUUCCGUAAAAUAACAGAUAAUACACAUAACUUGCAUUUUAUUCGAAAAUAACCACAAAGCAUAUAUUUCAUGAUAAAAAUCAGCAUAUCAUAUAUUUAACAUCAAUAACUUAAAAAUAACAAUUAUGCUACAUUAUUUACACAUGAACUUACCUCGAUACCACAAAGGUGAAAAAAAAAACGUAAUUAUCCCUUAAUCGAUUUCUUUCCGUUCUAGGUCCAAAUCUCGAUUUUCAUCAUCUAAAAUAUCACAUUCAACUUAUUAAAACAAUGUACUGAUCAAAUUAGUCCACUGACACACUUGGGCAAUUUUUACAAUUUUGCCCCUAUAUUUUGCCAAAACUACCAGAUUACCCCUAGGCUCGUAAAAUAAUUUUUAUCACAUUUCUUUACUCUUGAGUCUAGAUGAACCAUUUUCAUAACUGUAGCAACUCAUAAUUUCAACUAUUUCACACAUUUACAACUCAUUUUACAACUUAGCAAUCUAGCCCUUUUUAAGGUGUUUUCAUGCAAUUUCUUUCAAAAAAGUUGUUUAUUAGACAACUAGGACUCAUAAUCUUCCAUAAAAAAUACAGAAAACAACACAUUUACUCUCAUGGAAAAACCCUAGACUCUUCAUCAUUUUGCAAAAUAGACCACUCAUAUGAAAGCUCAUGCUUUAGGGGUUCCAAAAAUGUAAAAAUCAUCAAGCAAAGACAUUAAAAUCACUUACAAGCAAGGGAAAUAUGUUUCUGAAAUUUUCCAGCUUCAAAGCCCUUUCUUUGCUGCAUAUUUCGGUGAAGGAGAAGAGAAAAAUGAUAGCUUUUUCUUUUUGAUUUGUUAAUAAUAAAACUAGUCAAAAUUGGUGACCAAAUUUCACCUAAUUUUGACUUUUCAACAAUUUUGUCUCCCAUGGCCGUCCAUCACACUUUCAAUGGCCUAAUUUCACUUUAAAUACCCCCAAUCUAAGAUACAAGGCAAUUUAACACCUUUAGGUAUUAAAACACAACUUUUACCUUUUACGCGAUUUAGUCCUUUUUCGAAAUUGGACUAGAAAUUGCUAAAAUUAACUUACCAAAAUUUACAUGCACUUAUAAAAUUAUAUUAUAGAACAUAAAAUAAUACUAAAAAAAUUUUCUCUAGCCUCGAAAUAGUGGUCCCGAAACCACUGUUUCGACUAGGCCCAAAAUCGGGCUGUUCCUAAUUUUGACUUUUCAACAAUUUUGUCUCCCAUGGCCGGCCAUCACACUUUCAAUGGCCUAAUUUCACUUUAAAUACCCCAAAUUUAAGAUGCAAGGCAAUUUAACACCUUUAGGUAUUAAAACACAACUUUUACCUUUUACGCGAUUUAGUCCUUUUUCAAAAUUGGACUAGAAAUUGCUAAAAUUAACUUACCAAAAUUUACAUGCACUUAUAAAAUUAUAUUAUAACACAUAAAAUAAUACUAAAAAAAUUUUCUCUAGCAUCAAAAUAGUGGUCCCGAAACCACUAUUUCUACUAGGCCCAAAAUCGGGCUGUUACAGAUUAGGAUAAGGUGUUUCAAUCCUACUAGAAUAUGGCUUUACAAGCCUAUAAAUAGACAUAGUCUAUUCCUCUUGUAUUGAUUCAAUUUUUUGACAUAGUAAAUUUUCUUCUCCUCUGCCCGUGGUUUUUUCCCGAAAGGGUUUCCACGUAAAAUUUGUGUGUUCUUUAUUUUUAUUUUAUUUUAUUUUAUUUUCAAAUUGGUAUCAGAGCUUCCGGGUAAUUCAUCUCGAUCACGGUAAUGGCAUCUUUGAAGUAUGAAAUUCCGCUGUUGGAUCGCAACACUAGAUUUGCGUUGUGGCAAAUUAAGAUGCAAGCAGUUAUUGCACAAAUGGAUCUGGAGGAUGCCCUGCUAGGGAUAGAUAAGAUGCAUCUGCAUUUGUCCAACAAAAUUUUGCAGGAUGUGAUGAAAGAGAAGACUGCCGCUGCAUUAUGGAAGAGGUUAGAACAAAUAUGUAUGUCAAAAACUCUAACAAGCAAGUUGCAUAUGAAGCACGUCUUUAUGCUCAUCGUUUGGAGGAAGGUGCAUCUGUACACGAACACUUAACAGUGUUUAAAGAAAUUCUCUCAAACUUGGAGGCCAUGGUGGUUCAGUAUGAUAAGGAAGAUCUAGGGUUGAUUCUACUUUGUUCGUUGCCCUCGUCUUAUUCAACCUUUAGAGACAUGAUUUUAUAUAGCCGCGAAUCUCUCACAGUUGAUGAGGUUUAUGAUUCUUUAACCUUGUAUGAUAAGAUGAAGUAUCUUGUGGUUAAACCCGACUCUUAGGGAGAGGGUCUCAUUGUUCGUGGGAGACAAGAUCGGAAUGCUGAUGAUGAUCGUGGUAGGAUACAGGAACGAAAUCCUCGUGGUAAAUCUAAAGGUAGAUCGAAGUCUUCAAAUAGAGGUAAAACUUGUAACUUCUGCAAGAAGAAAGGACACAUUAAAUCUGAGUGCUAUAACCUACAAAAUAAGAUUAAAAGGGAGGCUGUGAAUCAAAAGGAAAAAUAACCAGAAAAUUCCGAUGAAGCUGAUGUUGUAGAAGAUUACAGCGAUGAUGAACUUCUAGUUGCUUCUAUCAAUGAUUCUAAAGUAAGCGAGAAAUGGAUACUUGAUUCAGGCUGCACCUUCCACAUGAGUCCCAAUCGAGAUUGGUUUACAACUUACAAAACAAUAUCUGAAUGUGUUGUUUUGAUGGGAAAUAAUGCUUCGUGUAAAAUCGCAGGUGUUGGAAUAGUUAAAGUUAAGAUGUUUGAUGGAGUUGUCAGAACAGUUAUGAGGUACGACAUGUUCCAGAAUUAAAGAGAAAUUAAAUUUCGUUGAGUACUCUUGAUUCAAAAGGGUACAAAUAUACAGCUGAAAGUGGGAUUUUAAAGAUUUCCAAAGGUUCCCUUGUUGUGAUGAAAGGGCAAAGAAAAACUUCCAAGUUAUAUCUUUUGUAGGGUUCUACUAUUACUGGUGAUGCAGCUGUCGCUUCCUCUUCCUUGUCAGAUGAUGAUAUUACUAAAUUUUGGCAUAUGCGCCUAGGGCAUAUGAGUGAGAAUGACAUAGUAGAAUUGAGUAAAAGAAGACUUCUUGAUGGGCAAGGAAUUUGCAAACUAAAUUUCAGUGAGCACUGUGUUUUUGGGAAGUAAAAGAGAGUUCGAUUCACUAGAGGAAUCCAUAACACGAAGGGAAUAUUGGAGUAUAUUCAUUCUGAUCUGUGGGGGCCAUCCAGAGUGCCUUCGAGAGGUGGAGCUAAUUAUAUGCUAACCUUUAUUGAUGAUUUUUCCAGAAAAGUUUGGGCGUUCUUCCUGAAGCAGAAAAUCGAUGUGUUUUCCGCAUUUAAGUCUUGGAAAAUUAUGAUUGAAAAUAGACGGGAAAACAGAUAAAAUACCUCCGCACAGACAAUGGCUUAGAGUUCUGUUCUGAUGAGUUUAAUAGAUUGUGCAAGUCAGAAGAGAUCAUGAGACACUUGACAGUUCGUCAUACUCCACAGCAAAACGGCAUUGCAGAACGAAUGAACGGAACGAUCAUGGAGAAGGUUCGAUGUAUGUUGUCAAAUGCCAACUUAUCGAAGUCAUUUUGGGCAGAAGUAGCCUCUACUGCAUGUUUUUUAAUUAACCGAUCUCCAUCCGUUGCCAUUGAGAAAAAGACUCCACAAGAGGUAUGGUCUGAUAACCCUGCUAAUUAUUCUAAUUUAAAGAUUUUUGGGUGUCCUGCGUAUGCUCAUAUUGAUAAUGGAAAAUUAGAACCGAGAUCCAUUAAAUGCGUUUUUCUUGGUUAUAAAGCUGGUGUAAAAGGGUAUAAGUUAUGGUGUCCUGAAAAUAGAAAAGUUGUGAUUAGCAGAGAUGUUGUUUUUGAUGAAACUGCUAUGCUACCUAAGUUAUCUCUUAAAGAAUCUUCCAAUAAAGAAAAUCAAAAACAGGUGGAGCAUCAGAUUAAUACAGAGUCAACUCCUCAAGCCAGAACAAAAGUUGAGAAUAUAGUUGCUUCUUCACCACAAUACUCUAUCACCAAAAGCAGAACUAGAAGAGAAAUUAAACCUCCAAAGAAGUAUGCCGAGGCUGAUCUAGUUGCUUAUGCUUUAAAUAUUGCUGAAGAUAUAGAUACGAAUCAAGAGCCAUCUAAUUAUUCUGAGGCGGUUAGCUGUGAAGACUCAAAAAAGUGGAUGUUUGCUAUGCAAGAAGAGAUGGAAUCACUCUACAAAAACAGAACAUGGGACCUUGUGAAACUUCCUAAAGGUAAAAAAGUUGUUCGUUGUAAAUAGGUGUUUAAAAGGAAAGAAGAGACUCUAGGAGUUGAAGAACCCAGAUAUAAAGCAAGACUUGUUGCAAAGGGUUACAGUCAAAUUUCAGGAGUGGACUUCACAGAUGUGUUCUCUCCAGUUGUUAAGCAUAGUUCGAUUCGAUCUUUGCUUGGUAUUGUGGCCAUGCAUGAUUUGGAGCUUGAGCAGUUAGAUGUAAAAACUGCAUUUCUGCAUGGAGAACUUGAGGAAGAUAUUUACAUGCAACAACUAGAGGGUUUUAUUGUCUUAGAAAAAGAGGACUAUGUUUGCUUGUUGAAAAAGUCCCUUUACGGUUUGAAACAGUCACCAAGACAGUGGUACAAGAGGUUUGAUUCCUUUAUGACUUCUCAUGAUUUCAAAAGUAGUUUUGACAGUUUUGUUUACUUUAAGAAAAACAGUGAUGGUUCUUUUGUGUAUCUACUUCUUUAUGUUGAUGACAUGUUGAUAGCAGUAAAAGAUAAAGGAGAGAUAAGAAAUGUCAAAACACAACUAAGUAAAGAAUUUGAGAUGAAAGCUUUAGGACCAGCAAAGAAUAUACUUGGAAAGGAGAUUCUCAGAGAUAGAAAAACAAGUAAAUUGUACCUAAGUCAGAAGAGGUACAUUGAGAAAGUUCUUUGCAGGUUCAAUAUGCAGAGUGCUAAGCCUGUUAGUAAUCCUUUAGCAGCCCAUUUCAGACUUUCAUCAGUUUUGUCUCCACAAUCAGAUGAUGAGAUUGAGUACAUGUCACAUGUUCCAUACUCUAGUGCAGUGGGAUCUCUCAUGUAUGCUAUGGUUUGUUCACGUCCAGAUUUAUCAUAUGCAGUCAGUGCAGUUAGCAGAUACAUGGUGAAUCCUAGUAAAGAACAUUAGAAAGCAGUUUAGUGGAUUCUAAGAUACUUACGAUGUACUACUGAUGUUUGCUUACAGUUUGGAAGAACUAAAGAUGGAGUCAUAGGGUAUGUUGAUGCUGAUUUUGCUGGAGACCUUGAUAAAAGAAGAUCUCUCAUAGGUUAUGUCUUUACAAUCGGAGGUUGUGCAAUCAGUUGGAAAGCUACUUUGUAGUCUACAGUCGCUUUGUCUACCACUGAAGCUGAGUACAUGGAGAUUACUGAGGCUUGUAAAGAAGCUAUUUGGUUGAAGGGACUCUUUAGUGAACUCAAUGAAGACCUUCAAAUCAGCACAAUAUUUUGUGACAGUCAGAGUGCCAUCUUUCUUACAAAAGAUCAAAUGUUUCAUGAGAGAACAAAACACAUUGAUGUUCGGUAUCAUUUUGUUCGUGAUAUUAUUGCUCGUGGUGAUAUUGUUGUGAGCAAAAUUAGUACUCAUGAAAAUCCUGCAGAUAUGAUGACUAAGUCACUUCCUAUAACCAAGUUUAAGCAUUGCUUAGACUUGAUUGGUGUUCAUUGUUGAAGUUAAACCCUUAAGGGGUUUUAUGGAAGAGGUGGAGAACUUGUUUAUUGAAAGUUCGCAAUGAAGAACUUGUUCAUUGAGAAUUUGUGUCAAGGUGGAGAUUGUUAGAAUUAAGUGACCUAAAUUCUUAUUUAAAUAAAAUACGAUGGAAAAUAAAAUGAAAGUAAAAUCCAUAUAGAACUAGACUUCUUUUAUUUUAUUUUAGAAUAAGGUUUUUAAACCUUAUUAAACUUCAUCUAUUUUAUAUUGAUUAGGAUAAGGUGUUUCAAUCCUACUAGAAUAUGGCUUUACAAGCCUAUAACUAGACAUAGUCUAUUCCUCUUGUAUUGAUUCAAUUUUUCGACAUAGUGAAUUUUCUUCUCCUCUGCCCGUGGUUUUUUCCCGAAAGAGUUUCCACGUAAAAUUUGUGUGUUCUUUAUUUUUAUUUUAUUUUAUUUUAUUUUUUUCUCAAAACUCAAUAGAUAGAAGAGUAGAGUAAAUCAAAUAUUGAUUAUGGGUGAUUAGCUCGCUUUAGUAAUCCUCAUCAGCUAUCACUUCGGGUUCCUCGUCAAUCAACUAGUCGCUACCCUAGCAGGAUCUUCUGGUCUUCCACUAACAUAACAAGUCAGCAAGAACUACUUAUCUUUUGACCUCACAGUUUAGGUUGGUUUAGGGUAAAGGUGUUCAUGAAUGGAAAGUACCAAUUUGGAUUAAUUCCCACCUUGAUGACUUUUCGGGGUUGCCAAGCCUAGGGUUUGUUUUAUGUUCUUCCUUUUCCAAAUAGUUAAUCCGUUGAGUAACCCUACAAAAUAGUUAAUAGAUCAUACAUCCACUCGCUAAUCCCCCAUAAAGGGAUUAGUUCCUCAUGGCUUUCAUAGACAAUAUGAAAUCAAUAUAAAGAGAAAACAUACUAAUUAAAACGAUAAGAUAAAGUAAAUGAAAGAGUCUGAUUGUAUUGAUGUCAAUUGUGAAUCCCCAAUGUUUGAAUGCUUCAACAAUUUAGAUCUCUUGAAAUCAACAAAAACAACCGAAAAAAAUCUAAAACCUAAAAACGAAAAAAAUUUACACUGAAUUUUACAAAGAGAAUUUAGGCCAAAGGAUUGAUGUCCAUAACAAGUGACAAAUGAGUCUAUUUAUAGCCUUCAGGUGGCUAUCAUCCUUAACCCUGGGUUAGCUGAUGUUCCCGAGCUUGAAUGUUUAAUUGUAUAGACCAAAAUACCCUUACUUCGUGUUUUGAUUUCAUCACAGAGUCGAUGUCGUGACAUACUAGGAACUGUAUCGCGACCUAGCAACCAAUAUACUCCUCUGUAGCUAUCUUCAGUCUGUGCCUCGACACCUUUAGUCUGUGUCGUAUUGAUGGUAGUCUUGAAAUUUCUUCAUUUUGCUUAUUAUGUUGCAACAUCAAGCAUCGCAUGUUGUAACAUAGCGGCCAAUAUUAGUUUAGUACACCUUCUAAAGGUCUUCUGCACACUCACCAAGUGCGUUAGCUAUCCCUUAGGCCUUAUUCUACCCAUAAGGUUAAUAAAAGACUCAAUUUGCACAUUUUAUUAAAAGUAAAUAAAACUUAACUAAAACGUAACGAAAAUGCUUGUAUUCAAACUCUUCAAAUACGAAAACUAGUUUGAUCUGCUACACCGAAUUAUGAUAGAUCAGUUAUGCAUGCAAAAUAUAAAAGACAUAAAAUGAAAUUAACUUCAUUUAUUUAUUCAUCAUUCAAUCAAUAGAAAACAAUUAUAUGUUCACCACAAUGUGGGCGCAUUUCCCAGCACUCUACUAGUAAGGACGUCAAGACAUUCACGUCGUCGAGAAGAGCUUUCGUUUCUCAUCGGGACAAGACUAACUGUUUGGGCCUAAUAGAAGCAUUCUCCACAUAUUUGAUGAAACAAUUUAAAUUUAAAUUUAUUUUAUUGUGGUUUUUGGGACUAUAAUUUUUUAAUUUUGGGUUAUGGCAUGGGUUCUUUUUAAGUUCGGAUUUUUGCAUGCAUUCAAUUUCAUUAAACUGAACAAGCCAAAUUAAUCUUCUUAUAGAAUAUGGUUUAAAGUAAUAACUGAUGGUUUCACUUUUUUCGCUGCAAAACAAGAGUUUUGAAAGUAAAAUGACAAAACAAAAAUCAACUAAGUUUACCCAAAAAUGUCACAACACAUAUUAAAUUUGGACUCUUAAGUUUAAAUCGAUGUAAAAUCUUAUGUUUUUGCUAAAUAUAUGAUACUACUCUAAGUUUUCUAAAAAUCAUAAAAAUAAAAGUUAUGAAAACUGAAUUGUUCUAUUAGGCAAUUUCGGUGGCCAAUGUAACUUUUAUGAUCCAAUCAUAAUGUCCAGUUUGAGUUAGGGAAGUUACAGUUACGGGUGAAAAUUUCAAGCAAUUGGAAAAAGAUGGAGUUGAACAGGUGCUCACGAGAGAAGAUGGCUAGAGACAACUACUGCUAACGGCGGGGAAUUGGAAAAAAAAAUUAUUGACAAGCAAGUUUUGUCGAAUAUGAGUGAAUAUGUUGAAUUAUGGGUUGGUGAUGGUAGAAAGUCAAAUAUUGAAGGGGACAUGAAUGGGGUGACGUUGUUUAGUACUGAUAACAUGGGUGUAAACGAGACUAUUAAAGUGGGAGUAAAUAACUGAGGCAAGGAAAGUAAGUGUUGGCAAGUCCAAUUUCAAGAUGGAUCGGAUACUAGCGGUGGGCCAUUCAGAUGGGAAGAAGGUUACGUUGAAAUAGCUGAGGUGAUGGGUGGAGAUAAUAUAACUGCAGGCAAGGAAUUGGUUGAAAUUACGAAGAGGCAAUUGAAUAGGAGUAUAUAGCCAAAGGAGACAAUAAAGUUUUCUUAGUUACAAAAUAGGAAGUUAAGUUUAAGCCUCAACCAAAAAAUCAAAUACAUUAUUUAACACUGAUCCUGUAAAAAAAUGUCCUGCACUAUUAAAAGUGGCUGUGUGAAGACGUACAACCCAAUUGCGCAAUCUCUAACCCCUUUAGACAUCACAUCUACCGCCAUGUUCGUCAUCCUUGAAGGAGGCAGCAAACUUAUUUAAUAAUAUGAUUUGAAUUAAAUAUAUGUAAUAUUAUUGUACCGCAUUAAUAUUAUGAUUAUAGUAAUUAUUAUUAUUACAAUUUCAACUUAUGAACAGGUUUGCUUUCACUAUAAAGAAUGCAUAUUAACAGUCAAAAUUUAAACAUAUUAGAUAAAAAUAAAUUUUUAAAUAAUUUUACAUAAUAAUAUUUUAAUUAAAAAAUAAAUUUGAGAAAAGAAGAAUGCCACAAAGAAUGAAUAUAUACAUUAUUAUAUUAUAUUAUUUAUGAUAUAAUAUGAUAUUAUUUCUUACAAAUGUUUCGAACAACAUUAGUUACCAUUUAAUCCACAAAGCUUUAAUUUAUAAGUGUCAAAGAAAAAUAGUAAAAUACGAAAGUUAAUAUUUUGUGGAAUGUGAAAAGAUUUAAAAAAGUGAUAUUUAAUUUACAAUUUAGCAUUUAAAUUAAAUUUAUAUAUUAAUUAUUUCAAUACUUACAAUAUCAAUUUAUCUAAAAAAUAUUUUACUCAAACAUUUAUAAAUAAAAAAAGUAUAUAAAUUACAUCCUAGCAUUAGCCUUUUUUUAAACAACUUCAAAGUCAGAGAUUUUAGAAGAACAAGAAAUCGAAGAUUAAAACACCAUAGUUUUAUAGAGCGAUUAAUAUCCAUGAAAUAUAAACAAAUUCUCACAUCCGUAGGGCACUCUCCACCGUGAAACAUUUUAAACUAAAUAUGGCCAUUUUUUUAGUUUUACCUGAUUCCUUUUUCAAUAUAAAUAUGGACCUUCAAUAGCAUAUUAUUCAAGCCUUUGCUCAAAGGGCCAUAAGUGAUAAGCAAUAAACAGCCCCACAACUUCAAAUAAGGUUUUCUUCUUUCUUGCUUUCUUUUCUUCAGGGGAAAGAAAGAGAGAAAAAGAUACUUUUUUUUGUAAAAAAGUUGUUUAAAAAUGGCAAAUAAUGCUAUUAUUGGUAUCUGUACGGUGUUCCUGGUGGCCAUGGUGGUAGCCGUGGUGGUGGGUGUUACGCACAUAAAAAGCAAGAACGAUGGUGAAAAGAUAUCGAGUUCGAACAAAGCUGUGCAAGCCUUAUGUCAACCCACGAAUUAUAAAGAGACAUGCCAGAAAAGCUUGGCGUCGUCAAAUUCUAGCGACGUUAAGGAGCUGAUGAGGACAGGUUUCCAAGCCGGGCUAGUCGAGAUAAAGAACGUAUUGGCCCAUUCAGUGACAGUCCAAGAGUUGAUCAAGGAUGAGAACAACAAAGCGGCACUUGGUGUCUGCCAAUAGGUGUUGGACUUAGCCAUUGAUGACUUUCAAAAGUCUUUCGACAUGCUAGGGGAAUAUGACAUGAGCAAGAUUGGAAAAUACCUUUUGGAACUGAAGACCUGGCUAAGCGGUGCAUUCACGAGUCAACAGACAUGUAUAGACUCAUUUGCGCAAUCAAGUAACGAAUCAUCGCAGAAGAUGCAAUCAAUCUUGAAGACUAGCAUGGAGAUUACUAGCAAUGCUUUAGCGAUGCUUAAUGGGUUAUCCACCAUCGUGAAGGAACUUAACAUUCCAAACGUCGGUAACGUCGACAGCACGGGGUUCAAUCGUAAGCUUUUUUCGGCUGAGGAUAUGCUUGAGUGGAUUAGUCAAGCUGACCGGAAACUCCUUCAAGCAAAACCAAUGGAUUUGAAGCCUAACGUUGUGGUUGCUAAAGAUGGUAGCGGGAAAUAUGAUACUAUUAACAAGGCAUUGGCUGAAGUCCCCGUGAAAAGUCCCUAUCGAUUUGUUAUUCACAUUAAGGCUGGUACUUACAAGGAAAAAAUCAACGUGACCAAGCAGAUGACUAAUGUUAUAUUCAUCGGUGAUGGCCCAACCAAGACCGUCAUCACAAAUGACAUUAGUGUCGCUAAGAAUCCACCGGUUAGAACAUACCGCACUGCAACUGUUGGUAAGCAGUAUUAUAGAUAUAUAUAAGUUUUAGUGGUGAGGUGAGGUGGCUAACUAGUAUAUAUGUAUGUAUGUUUGUGAAAUAUUUUAGGUGUGGAUGGGGCUGGUUUCAUGGCCAAGGACAUUGGAUUCGAUAACUCAGCAGGACCCGAAGGUCAUCAAGCAGUGGCUUUUAGGGCCACUGCUGAUAGGGUCAUCAUGUUCAACUGCCAUUUCACUGGGUACCAAGACACUCUUUACGCUCAUAGAGAGAGACAGCUAUAUACCAACUGUCUCAUUACUGGAACGGUGGAUUUCAUCUUUGGGGAUGCGGCGAGCAUUUUCCAGAACUGUAUGCUUAUCGUGAGGAAGCCAGGGCCUGGCCAAAAUUGCAUGGUUACUACACAGGAAAGGAAUGAUCUUGGAACAAACUCAGCCAUUGUGCUUCAAAACUGCACCAUCUCGGGCGCCCCUGAUUACAUCCAAGUGAAAGAUACGAACAAGGCAUACUUGGGGCGUCCCUGGAAACAAUUCGCUAGGUCUAUCAUAAUGCAAUCUCAGAUCGACGACAUCAUUCAACCAGAGGGUUAUGCCCCCAUGACCGGCACCAUAGGAAUAGACACUUCUUUCAUUGCCGAGUUUGGAAACAGGGGACCCGAUGCCGAUACCAGCCGUAGGGUGGCUUGGAAAGGUAUAAAAAAGAUAGAUAUAAAUGAAGCCAACAAAUGGACUCCUCGCGUCUAUCUUGAAUCCGAGACUUGGGUUCCGAGUUCCGGCAUUCCCUAUAGUCCCGACAUGGUCCUUGGAGUCUAAACAGCUUAUUAUCAAUACCAACGCCAUUAGUAUGCUUAUUAUCAUAUCAUUGUUCUAAUUAUGUCAUUUUUACUAAUUAGUAAACAGUUUUUUUAAUCUUUUAUCUAUCUAUGUAUAUAUGUUGAAUUUAUUGGUUUCCGAGUUGUUGUUUCCAUUCACUUAAUAAUGAUGUUUACAAAACCCAAAAAUUAAGUCAACGUUUAAAUAUUAUUGAACUUAAUUUAAUAAAUAUUUUAGAAGGAUUAUUUGGAUUGAUAAUGUUGUUUUCUUGAUGUAGACACCUUACUUUAAAUAGAUUUAAUAAAAUGAUUAUUAUCAAACUUAAUUACAAGAUUUAAUAAAAAAAUAGUUUAUUAAGUAAUAAUUACUAAUAUAAUAUUAAAAAUUAAUAAAAAAAUCAAUCUUAUUUUAUAUAUAUAUAUUUUUAUAUAUGGAUUUUAGCAAGCAUCCCGCUUAUGGAAUCAAGGAUUUGAUCAAGCGGUCAAUAUUUUUGAAUUUGAGCAAAACAUAGAAGAACAUUGUGUUUAUAAACAUUUAGGGGAUGAAAAUGUGGUCUUUCUCGUUCUAUAUGUCAGGUGAAAUUCUACUAGUUGAGAAUAAUGUAGGGAUAUUGUCAUCGUUUAAACUAUGGUUAACCCAAUAGUUUAAGUGAAGGACUUGGGAGAAGUUAAUUUUGUUCUGGGCAUUCGAAUCCUGAUCGAAAGAACAAAGUGAUAGCACUAUCGCAAGAUUCAUACAUAGCCAAGAUGUAAUAACCUGUUUUUCAGUGGUAUCAGAAAUAGUGGUUUUGGGGCCACAAAUCCGACGAGUAAGUUUAUAAAUAUUAUCAUUUAAUAUUUAUGAGUCAAAUACGGUUUUAAAAAGGUUUUUGAUUUGGUAAUUUAUGUUAUAUAAAUGAUAAAUUAAGUUGAAGUUGUAAAACCCUAAAGUCAAGUAGUUUUAGAAAAUGAGGUAUCGGGACAUCGUUUCUAUAUAUCAAGUUGUAAAUAUUUUUAUAAAUAUUUAUGGAGUAUUAUUAAGGUUGUAUUAAAGUUUCGUUAUGAAAUUUUAAUAUUUAAAAGGUUAAUUAGGUGAAAAGGACUAAAUUGAAAAAUGUACAAAAGUUGAAUGAUAUUAGUUAAAUGGAUCUAAUAGAUAUGGAAAGGUAAAUUCUUGGACCUGGAUGGUAAUUGUACCAUAUUUAAUGUGAGUGGAUAUUCUUAGGAAGGUUGCAUGGUAAAUCUUCUAAAUUUUAAAGGUUAUAAUAUAAUUAAUUAAUAUAAACUAAAAUAACUUAACCAAAAAUUAUCAUCUUCUUCCUUGUUUCAAAUGCUUUAACCAAAUGGUUAUGGUGGGUGAUGAAAACCCAUUCGGCUAGUUUUUUGGGGUGCUUGGUAAGCUAUUUUCACCCAUUUCUUUUAAUUUUUAUGUUUUUGAGAUCGUUGCAACUAGGUCUAGCUAGUUUGUACCUUCGAUUUUGAAACUGUUAAAGAUAUUGAAUUUUUCCAUUGAAGAAUUUUGUGAAUUAAUUUGAAGUGUUAGUUAGUAUUUAAAAGUAUUUUGUUAAAUAAUUUUUGAUGAAUUUCCCGAUUAGGGACUAAAUUGUUAAAAUAAUAAAAAUACAUGGAUUUUAUGUGAAUUUAUUUAUAAAUAUGGGCUGUAUUGGGAGCUAUAAACACUUAGCUAAGCUCAAAAUUGGGUAACAAUGGUUAAUCUACAUGUUUUAGGUUCAGGGACUAAAUUGAAUAAAAGCAAAAUGUUAGAAACAAUUUUGUAAAAAUGUAAAAAAUGACUAAAUUGCAUAAAAUAAUUUUUUUUACUAUCUAUAUUAAUAAAUUGAAUGAAAUUAUUAAUUUAGAUCAAGAUUGAGUGGAAAAUCAAUGAGAAUAAAAAAUUACCAAAAUGCCUAUGUACUUUGACAUUUCUGCAAUUUAGCUAGGUAAAUUUGUACAGUUAGAAUUUAACAUCAAUAUGAAUUUUUGAGUAGAUUAACAUGGUACAAAUUAUAUAUUUAUUUUUAAUUGUUGAUAAUUAAUGGUAAUUUGAUAUAUAAUAUUAAAUUUGAUGCUCGGUUUGGACUGAACGCGGGAUAAAGUACAAUCGUGAUUUGUGUUUUAGGGGUUUAGAGUGGAGAUGGUAUUGGAGGGAGAUGUUUGUAUAUUACCUGCGGUUCAGCAGUUGUUAUGAACUCUCGUGUUAUACUCUCUGUCUGGAGUGUUUCGGUUGGAUUAGCUCUUAUGAGCUUCUGUCCGGCGUGUUUCAGUUGGAUUAGCUCUUAUGAGCUUCUGUCUAGUGUGUUCAGUUGAUCUGACUAUGCACUCUUAUCUGUAAGUUGUUCUUCAAAUGAAAAAUCUAGGUAAGGUAAUAUGCUUAAUGAAUUUGAAAGAUUUGUUAUUUAUUGAAUAUUGAUCUGAACAUAGAUGAAUUCAUCAGUUGAAAUUGUGGAUGCUAGGGAACUCUGUAACACCCCCUAACCCCAAAUUGUUACCAGAACGAGGUUAUGAGGCAUUACCGAACAUAUCAGACAACUUACGAAUAAUUUACCAUUAAUAUAACUUUCAUAGUAUAAUAUAAUAAUUAAGUCCCUAUCUUGAACUCUCGAAGUUCAAACACGUAUUAAAAGUAGAACGGGACUUGUUCGAGUAUUCCAAUUUUUUUUUUAUAAAAAUUUUGGCAGCAUUUCUGCUUAUUUUUACCUAAACCUCCUGCAAAUUCAAACCAAAACAACCAACACCAAUAUUUCACAUUCAUAUACUAAUAUUUAUAUUAUUAACAAAAUUUUAAUUUAAUAAGUAUCAUAGCAUCAUUCAAAAUUGAUUAAAAACUUCAUUCAUUUAACAACUUAAUGUUCAUGUAUCAAAAUAUCAUGUACUUUCUUUACCAUUUCAUUUAACCAUCUAAAUUUUAUAAUUCAUCCUUCACUACCCAAAGUAAUAUACAUAUUCAGGUGACUACCUAUGUACAUGCCACCUUUACCCAAAAGAAAAAUAUACAUCACCAAGUUUGUGUUGGAGUCAGGAUUGUUCUGGAUCCUGAGCCGGGACACUUGAUUCCUACUAACCUGCGCACGGAAACAACCGUACGCUGAGUAUGGAUAUACUCAGUGGUAUUACUAUAAAUCAAGACUAUUUAACAUUAAUAAAUUACAAACAUCAACCAUAAAUUUUAUAAUUAUUUAAACUACUUUUAUGUAAAAUUAUUUUACUUCAUAAAUCUUAAAUUCAUAAUUUAUUUUUCUCAUACUAACUCAAUUCAUAAUUUAGUUCAUACAUUCUUUCUCGUACUUUUCAAUAGUGCUAAAACAAAUAAUCUCAUUUUCAAAAUUUCAUUUCAAUUAUUUACCCUAUUAACAAAGCUCGGACUAUGACAGAUACGCGGAUUCCAUCCAAACACACCAGAAUGUCCAACCCAAACACACCCGGAAUAUUGUAAAUCCUCCAUAACACACCGGUAUAAUAUAUCCUCCCAAACACACCAAUAAGGCAUUAAAUGCCUAUUCAGAUAAACCGAAGUAUAUAAUAACAGAAACAUCCUCUCGGCCGAACUACAAUCUCUUCAUCACAUCACAAAUCCAAUGGCAUGCCAUUUGUAUCGGAUUUAGUCCGACAAGUUAAUAGGGUAUUUUUUUUUCUAAUUUCAAUUUCAUUUACAGAAAAAUUUUCAAUACUCAUUCAAUCCAAAUAUCUAUUAUCUUAAUUCAUAUACAAUUUAAUUUUCACACAAGUGUAUACCAUCAACACCAUACAUUUGUCACAAUUUAUUUAUUUUCAAUCAAUACACUUUUCAAAUAAUCACAUAUUCCAUAAUUUACUUAUUCAAUUCAACUUGAUUCAAUUUAUAUCACUUUCAUUUUCACUCAAUAUUCAUAUCGAUUUCACAUACUUACCUCAAGUCUUAUUUACCAUACAUAACAAUUAAAAUUUCAGCAAUCAAUAAUAAUUAAAAUUUGAAUUAUAGUAAUACACACCGUAAUUCUCCCGUUUUAGUCCUCGAUGACUUUCUCCUUUCCUUUCGAUGCUGAUGCUUCCGGUUCUUUGUUGGCUACGAAAAUAAUAGUAAUUUACAUUAUUAUUUACAGCAUUAAUUAUAAUAAAUAAUUAAAUUUCUAAACAACUCCUACCUUAUUCCCAAUUUAAUCCUAACUAAACUUAAUUAUUUUCUUAAUCCAAUUCACUCUCUUUUUCUAUUCAAAUUUUGUCUAAACUUAUAUUUAACUAUAAAAUUUCCAGCAUAUUUCCCUAAUUUCUAAAUUUCUUCAAUUUAGUCCCUACAACAUAAAACUUAUAGCCUAGUUUACAAUUUAAUCCCUUAAUCAAUUCUAACUUAGAAUUCAUUCAAUUAAAUCCCUAAUUCCAUAAAUUUUCCAACAUGAACCCUACUUGGAAACAUAUGAACUCUUGAACUAUCAACUUAAUUUCAUCAAAAUCUUGUUUCAAAGCUCCAAAAACAUCAAAAUUAACUAAAAAAGACUUAAUUAACUUACCAAAUUAACUCCAAGCUUCAAAUCCUUAGUUUUCUCUUUUAUUUUUCUUUCCCCUUUUCUUUCUCUUUUUCUCCCCUGCUUCCCGUUUUCAACUCUGUUUCUAUUUCCUUUUGUUUCUUUAUUUCUUUAAUUCUUUUAUACUUUAUUAUUUUAUUAACAUAAUAUAAUAUUAAUAUAAUAUAUUAAAAUAUAUUUUACUUUAAUAUUAAGUAAAUUAAUAAUUAUAUAACAAGUGUACAUAUUUAUAUUAUUACAAAUGUCAUUAUCUAAUUUGCUUAUUAAAUAAAAAUCUCAUGAUUUAAUUAAUACAAUUAAUAAUUAUAAAAUAUUUUUAUACUUAAAUUAUAAGUAAUUAAAUAUUUAAAUUACAAAUGUACCCAUACAAUUCUUACACAUGUAUAUUUUAUUAUCAUACAAUUGUCUUCUAUUUAAUUUAUUUAUAAUAUAAUAUCAAUUAAAUAAUCAUAACAAUUUAAUAUAAAACCAUAAUAAUAAUCAUUAUAAUAUAUAAAACCUAAAAAACAUCUUUGAUUUUAUUUCACCAAUAUGCCACCUCAUUUGUAGUCAAUGGCUUAAUUGUCAUUUUAAUCCUUUUUAUUUUCUAUUGCUUUAUAAUUAAACUUUUACCCUUUAUUCAAUUUAAUCCUUUUUAUUACUUACUCUAAAUUAAGCUAAAUUCACUUAAUUAGAUCCUAAUUAGACACACCACUAGGCUCAUAAAUAUUUUAAAUAAUUAUUUUCGAACUUAUUUCACUAAGACGGAGGCCCUAUAACUCACUUUUCCGGUGCCCGUGAAUUUCAGGUCAUUACAUUUCUCCCCCCUUAAUAAAUUUCGUCCUCGAAAUUUACCUGAGAAGAGAUGAGGAUAUUGUACUCUCAUAGUUUCCUCUGGUUCCCAAGUCGCUUCUUCAACAUUAUGAUUUCUCCAUAGGACUUUCACUAAAGGAACCUUUUUAUUUCUUAAUUCUUUCACUUCUCGUGCUAAAAUUUGAACCGGCUCUUCUUCAUAUGAUAGAUCAGGUCGAACUUCAAUAUCUUCUGUAGAAAUUAUAUGAGAAGGAUCUGAUCUAUAUUUCCGUAGCAUCGAAACAUGAAAAACAUCAUGAAUCAUUUGUAAGUCAGAAGGUAAAGCUAAUCGAUAUGCAACUGGUCCAAUUCUUUCCACUAUUUCAUACGACCCAAUAAAACGUGGGGUCAAUUUUCCUUUCCGACCAAAUCUCAAAACUUUUUUCCAAGGAGAAACCUUAAGAAAUACUUUGUCUCCAACUGAAUAUUCAAUGUCCCGACGUUUCAGAUCAGCAUAAGAUUUUUGUCUGUCAAAAGCUGCUUUUAAUCUCUGUUGAAUCUUCUUGACUGUUUCUUCUGUUUCACGAAUCAAUUCUGGCCCAAUUACUUUUCUUUCAUUCAAUUCCGUCCAACAUACUGGUAAUCUACAUUUUCGACCAUAUAACGCUUCAUACGGAGCCAUCUGAAUACUAUAUUGGAAACUAUUAUUAUAGACAAACUCAGCUAGUGGCAAAUAUCGCUCCCAACCUGCUUCAAACUCAAUAAUACAAGUUCGAAGCAUAUCUUCUAGUACCUGAAUUACCCGUUCGGACUGUCCGUCAGUUUGGGGAUGAAAAGCUGUACUGAAACUAAGUCUAGUACUCAACGACUCAUGUAACUGUCUCCAAAAUCUCGAUGUGAACCGAGGAUCUCGAUCUGAAAUUAUUGAUAUCGGAAUGCCAUGUAGUCUAACAAUGUCUCGAAUAUACACAUCUGCAAGCUUCUGCAACGACCAAUCAGUCUUGACUGCUAUAAAAUGUGCUGACUUGGUAAGUCUAUCAACUAUCACCCAAAUAGCAUUCUUUUUGCUUGCUGACAACGGUAAUCCCGUAAUAAAAUCCAUCGUGAUGCGAUCCCAUUUCCAUUCAGGAAUAUUAAUAGGCUGAAGCAAUCCAGUAGGAACCUGAUGUUCUGCCUUUACUCGUUGGCAAGUCAGACAUUUACUUACAAAUUCUACUAUGUCUCUUUUCAUCCCUGGCCACCAGUAUAAUUCUCUUAAAUCUCGAUACAUUUUCGUGCCUCCGGGGUGCAUAGCAAACGAACUAUCAUGAGCUUCACGUAGAAUUAACUCUUUGGGCUCAGAAGUAUUUGGAAUACAAAUCCGAUUUCGAAACCUCAAGCAUCCACAAUCAUCAAUACUAAAAUUUUCUACUAUGCCAUUCUGUACCAUCUCUCUUUUCUUCAAUAAUUUGUCAUCUUCCAACUGAGCUGAUCUAAUCUGAUCAAACAUUACCGAUUUUACUCUUAAUUCGGCCAAAAUACUCCCAUCAUCAUUGAUACUAAGCCGUGAAAACAUUGCUCUUAAUUCAAUUACAGCUUUUCUGCUUAAUGCAUCAGCUACAACAUUAGCUCUUCCCGGAUGAUAGUCUAUAACACAAUCAUAAUCUUUCAGAAGCUCGAUCCAACGCCUUUGUCUCAAAUUCAAUUCCUUCUGAGAAAGAAGAUACUUCAAACUCUUAUGAUCAGUAUAGAUGUAGCAUUUUUCACCAUAAAGAUAAUGUCUCCAAAUCUUCAAUGCAAAAAUCACAGCCGCUAACUCAAAAUCAUGAGUGGGAUAAUUCCUUUCAUGUGAUUUCAAUUGAAGAGAUGCAUAGGCUAUUACCUUCCCAUCCUGCACCAAUACACAACUCAAACCACUCAAAGAAGCAUCACUAUACACUAAAAAUUCUUUACCCGAUUCUGGCAAUGUCAAAACUGGUGCUUCGGUUAACAUUCGCUUCAAUGUUUCAAAACUUUUCUGACAUUGAUCAUCCCAAAUAAAAGGAACAUUCUUCUGCAAUAGUUUCGUCAUUGGUAGUGCUAUCUUCGAGAAUCCAUUUACAAACCUCCUGUAAUACCCAGCUAAACCGAGAAAACUGCGUACCUCCGAUACAUUAUUUGGCACCUUCCACUGAACAAUUGCUUCGAUCUUUUUCGGAUCAACUCGAAUUCCAUCUGCAGAUAUUACAUGUCCCAGAAAUACCACUUCUGAUAACCAGAACUCGCAUUUACUAAGCUUUCCAUAUAACUGUUUCUCUCGUAAAAUUUGUAGAACUAUUCGAAGAUGCUGAUCAUGUUCUGCUUCUGUCUUCGAAUAUACCAAUAUAUCAUCAAUGAAAACCACCACAAACUGAUCUAAAUACAGCUGAAAGAUAUGAUUCAUGAGAUCCAUAAAAGCAGCUGGGGCAUUUGUUAACCCAAAUGGCAUUACCAAGAACUCAUAAUGGCCAUACCUCGUACGAAAAGCUAUUUUCGGUACAUCACUUUCUUUUACCUUCAACUGAUAGUAACCCGACCUUAAGUCAAUCUUCGAAAACACAGAAGCUCCUCUCAACUGAUCAAAUAAAUCAUCAAUGCGAGGCAACGGGUACUUAUUUUUAAUUGUUACCUUGUUCAACUGUCGGUAAUCAAUACAAAGUCGCAUAGAGCCAUCUUUCUUUUUAACAAACAAUACUGGAGCUCCCCAGGGUGAAAUGCUUGGUCUAAUAAAUCCAUGAUCUAGUAAAUCUUGUAACUGCACCUUCAACUCUUUCAACUCAGUGGGCGACAUUCGAUACGGAGGUAUAGAAAUUGGUGUUGUACCUGGAUACACCUCAAUAGCAAAUUCAACCUCUCUGUCAGGUGGUAAGUCCGGUAAUUCUUCUGGGAAUACAUCUGGAAACUCACGUACAGUCCUAAUCUGAUUGCACUAACUCCCAACUGAAUCAGAAUUAAUAACAUAUGCCAAGUAUGCUGGACAACCCUACUGCAGUAAUUUAUUAGCCUAAAUCGCUGAAAUAAUGCGUGUCGAACCACUGGUACGGAUGCCAUUCACUUCAAUUCUAUUCCCAUUUUUUGUCUGAAUACUAAACCUCUUUUUAUAGCAAUCCAAAACUACCCCAUGUUCAUAUAGCCAGUCCAUACCCAAAAUGAUAUCAAAAUCACCAAAAGGCAUGAUCAACAAGUCCACAAGAAACAUUUUAUCAUGUAUUAUUAACGGGCACCUCCGACAUACUCUAUCUACUAACACCGUUUGUCCCAAAGGGCUAGACACUUCUAUAGAAACUUUAGACAUUUCAGAUUCUAAUUUCCCCGAUUCGACUAGUUUUGAAUUUAUAUAUGAGUGUGACGAACCCGGAUCAAUUAAAGCAUAAAUAGGCUCAGAAUACAAUAGAAAUAUACCUGUAACAACAUCAUGUGCAUCGCCCUCCUCACGGGUCCGGACUACGUAAGCUCUGGCCGGCGCUCUGGCCUCUGACUGUUGUGUAACUAUAUUGCUGUUUCUUUUGACACCUCCACCUCUAGACACAGAACCCAAACCACCCGUACUAGAUCCUCUGCCACGAACAGUAGGUACUGAUCUUUGAGAUGUUGCAGGUGUGGCACUUUCACCUUUCGGACAAUCUCGAAUGAAAUGAUCUGUGGCCCCACAUCGAAAACAUCGUCGAGUUAUCCUCCAACAUUCACCUAAAUGUUUCUUUCCGCAAUGCUCACAGUCUAGAAUUUCUAUACUUCGGGAUGGACCUCUCACACUACUAGUAGAUAUUGUCAUCUCUUUACCUCUGCUUCUACCACUUCUAUCUGAACUAAAGCUGGAUCUCCAGUCACUUCUUGAUUCUCUGAAUCUCUUCGGUAAUGGAUUAGAACUAGUAGUUCCCAUACAUUUCCCAGCUGAUUUACCAAUUUCUGAUUUUUUAUCCAGACCCAGUACUUGUUCUAUCAUUUUUGCUCGCUCAACCAGAUCAACAAGUUCAGUAAUUCUGAGACUUACCAAUUGAAUCUUGAUUUCAUCUCGCAGUCCCCGUAGAAAUCGUUUACAACUAUCAGCCUCGGUUGGAACAUAUUCUAAAGCAUACCUGCUCAAUCUAGAGAACUCUCACUCAUAAUCCAGUACUGACAUAUUCCCCUAUUUCAACACUAAAACUCUUGCUUUUUCUCUUCGAUGUACAAUUCCCUAAUAUACUUCUUCUUAAAUUCUUUUUGAAACAAGUCCCAAGUUACCUGAUCAUCCGGCAAAUGUCUAACCACAGAUUCCCACUAGAGAUACGCUUCUCCUUGUAACAGUGAUACAGCACAUAUCAGACUCUCUCAGGGGGUGCAGUCUAAUUGUUGCAAAACUCUUUUUGUUGUUUCUAUCCAAUUUUCAGCAACGGAUGGAUCAGCUCCUUUUAAUCCCUGAAAUUCCGUGGCACCAUAUUUUCGUAGCUCUUUAAUUGGGGCCUGUCUGACAGUAGGUACAGAUGUAGUAGCAGGUAUAGCUCUCACUAUGUGCUGUAAUGCAUCAGCUAUAUCUCUUAACACUUGAGAGGUAUUUCUUUCUCUCCCUACGUUAGGAGAUUGAUUAUUUAACGGAUUCACACCAGGUGUAACAGAUUCAGUUUCUUCUAAUUCUCGACUUCCAGUAUACAUUUCCUGUUCAACAUUAUCCAUUCUUUCAUCUGACAUUUUAUCUAUAAAACAAAAUCAAAUAAAUACAUUAGCAUCCAAAAAUCCCGACUCAAUUUCGACUCGACAGUGGCAUGUACUUCUAAACUCACUUCUGAGCCCAAUUUAGCCCGAGAAUCGACUAAACCUGAUAACUCUGAUACCAACAAUUGUAACACCCCCUAACCCCAAACCGUUACCGGAACGAGGUUAUGAGGCAUUACCGGACAUAUCAGACAACUUACGAAUAAUUUACAAUUAAUAUAACUUUCAUAGUAUAAUAUAAUAAUUAAGUCCUUAUCUUGAACUCUCGAAGUUCAAACACGUAUUAAAAGUAGAACGGGACUUGUUCGAGUAUUCCAAUUUUUUUUUAUAAAAAUUUCGGCAGCAUUUCUGCUUAUUUUUACCUCAACCUCCUGCAAAUUCAAACCAAAACAACCAACACCAAUAUUUCACAUUCAUAUACUAAUAUUUAUAUUAUUAACAAAAUUUUAAUUUAAUAAGUAUCAUAGCAUCAUUCAAAAUUGAUUAAAAACUUCAUUCAUUUAACAACUUAAUGUUCAUGUAUCAAAAUAUCAUAUACUUUCCUUACCAUUUCAUUUAACCAUCUAAAUUUUAUAAUUCAUCCUUCACUACCCAAAGUAAUAAACAUAUUCAAGUGACUAAAUAACACCUAUGUACAUGCCACGUUUACCCAAAAGAAAAAUAUACAUCACCAAGUUUGUGUUGGAGUCGGGAUUAUUCUGGAUGCUGAGCCGGGACACUUGAUUCCUACUAACCUGCGCACGGAAACAACCAUACGCCGAGUAUGGAUAUACUCAAUGGUAUUACUAUAAAUCAAGACUAUUUAACAUUAAUAAAUUACAAACAUCAACCAUAAAUUUUAUAAUUAUUUAAACUACUUUUAUAUAAAAUUAUUUUACUUCAUAAAUUUUAAAUUCAUAAUUUAUUUUUCUCAUACUAACUCAAUUCAUAAUUUAGUUCAUACAUUCUUUCUCGUACUUUUCAAUAGUGCUAAAACAAAUAAUCUCAUUUUCAAAAUUUCAUUUCAAUUAUUUACCCUAUUAACAAAGCUUGGACUAUGACAGAUACGCGGAUUCCAUCCAAACACACUAGAAUGUCCAACCCAAACACACCCGGAAUAUUGUAAAUCCUCCAUAACACACCGGUAUAAUAUAUCCUCCCAAACACACCAAUAAGGCAUUAAAUGCCUAUUCGGAUAAACAGAAGUAUAUAAUAACAGAAACAUCCUCUCGGCCGAACUACAAUCUCUUCAUCACAUCACAAAUCCAAUGGCAUGCCAUUUGUAUCGGAUUUAGUCCGACAAGUUAAUAGGGUAUUUUUUUUUCUAAUUUCAAUUUCAUUUACAGAAAAAUUUUCAAUACUCAUUCAAUCCAAAUAUCUAUUAUCUUAAUUCAUAUACAAUUUAAUUUUCACACAAGUGUAUACCAUCAACACCAUACAUUUGUCACAAUUUAUUUAUUUUCAAUCAAUACACUUUUCAAAUAAUCACAUAUUCCAUAAUUUACUUAUUCAAUUCAACUUGAUUCAAUUUAUAUCACUUUCAUUUUCACUCAAUAUUCAUAUCGAUUUCACAUACUUACCUCAAGUCUUAUUUACCAUACAUAACAAUUAAAAUUUCAGCAAUCAAUAAUAAUUAAAAUUUAAAUUAUAGUAAUACACACCGUAAUUCUCCCGUUUUAGUCCUCGAUGACUUUCUCCUUUCCUUUCGAUGCUGAUGCUUCCGGUUCUUUGUUGGCUACGAAAAUAAUAGUAAUUUACAUUAUUAUUUACAGCAUUAAUUAUAAUAAAUAAUUAAAUUUCUAAACAACUCCUACCUUAUUGCCAAUUUAAUCCUAACUAAACUUAAUUAUUUUCUUAAUCCAAUUCACUCUCUUUUUCUAUUCAAAUUUUGUCUAAACUUAUAUUUAACUAUAAAAUUUCUAGCAUAUUUCCCUAAUUUCGAAAUUUCUUCAAUUUAGUCCCUACAACAUAAAACUUAUAGCCUAGUUUACAAUUUAAUCCCUUAAUCAAUUCUAACUUAGAAUUCAUUCAAUUAAAUCCCUAAUUCCAUAAUUUUUCCAACAUGAACCCUACUUGGAAACAUAUGAACUCUUGAACUAUCAACUUAAUUUCAUCAAAAUCUUGUUUCAAAGCUCCAAAAACAUCAAAAUUAACUAAAAAGGACUUAAUUGACUUACCAAAUUAACUCCAAGCUUCAAAUCCUUAGUUUUCUCUUUUAUUUUUCUUUCCCUUUUUCUUUCUCUUUUUCUCCCCUACUUCCCGUUUUCAACUCUGUUUCUAUUUCCUUUUGUUUCUUUAUUUCUUUAAUUCUUUUAUACUUUAUUAUUUUAUUAACAUAAUAUAAUAUUAAUAUAAUAUAUUAAAAUAUCUUUUACUUUAAUAUUAAGUAAAUUAAUAAUUAUAUACCAAGUGUACAUAUUUAUAUUAUUACAAAUGUCAUUAUCUAAUUUGCUUAUUAAAUAAAAAUCUCAUGAUUUAAUUAAUACAAUUAAUAAUUAUAAAAUAUUUUUAUACUUAAAUUAUAAGUAAUUAAAUAUUUAAAUUACAAAUGUACCCAUACAAUUCUUACACAUGUAUAUUUUAUUUCCAUACAAUUGUCUUCUAUUUAAUUUAUUUAUAAUAUAUUAUCAAUUAAAUAAUCAUAACAAUUUAAUAUAAAACCAUAAUAAUAAUUAUUAUAAUAUAUAAAACCUAAAAAAAAUCUUUGAUUUUAUUUCACCAAUAUGCCACCUCAUUUGUAGUCAAUGGCUUAAUUGCCAUUUUAAUCCUUUUUAUUUUCUAUUGCUUUAUAAUUAAACUUUUACCCUUUAUUCAAUUUAAUCCUUUUUAUUACUAACUCUAAAUUAAGCUAAAUUCACUUCAUUAGAUCCUAAUUAGACACACCACUAGGCUCAUAAAUAUUUUUAAUAAUUAUUUUCGAACUUAUUUCACUAAGACGGAGGCCCUAUAACUCACUUUUCCGGUGCCCGUGAAUUUCAGGUCAUUACAAACUCUCAUGGUUGAUUAUUAUUGUUUGAACUGUUGUAUUUACUUCGGUAAGAUUUAUCGUUUAAUAUGUCGAACUUACUAAGCUUCUUUAAGCUUACUUAUAUUUUUUAAUAUUAUUGUAGAUUCUCGGAAGGUUGGACGACCGAAUCAGCACUCAGGUCACACUAUCCAACUCAAUUCGAUAGUUUUUGGAAUGUUUAAUUUAGCUUAUAUGGCAUGUAUAGGCUCUUGUGUGAUUAUCGUUAAUGUUUUGGUUUAUAUAAAAACUAUAGAUGAUUUUUUGUGUAAAUGGUCAACUUAUAUAAUAUAUGAGAAUGAGGUAUAGUUUAUAUGCUAAUGUGAAUGAUAUGUAUUAAAGAAAUGUUGUGAUUGAGAUACCUUUGAUAGGUAUUUUGGAUAGGUAUUGCUUGAAUGAAUUGAUAAUUAUUUUGAUGUAUAAUUAUAUAUACUUGUGGUACCAAUGAGGGUACAUUGGUUAGGCACUUAAUAGGUUGUUUUAGUGUGUUUUUGGCUCGAUUAAAGUCAUUUUGAUUUGGCAUUUUGGUUGGCAUUUGAGUUUCUUAAGGUCCAAGCAAACUUGAAAUGCUAAUCUUGUGUUUUAAGGUUCAUUUUGGGUACACAUGGUCUGAGACACGGGCGAGUGUCUCAACCUUGUGUGACACACGGCCAUACGACACUAUCGUGUGUCCCCUGUAGGUUAAAGGCAUGCAAGUCAGCGAGUUACAUGGCCUAAGAGACAGGCGUGUGUCACAGUCGUAUGACCCCGGUAGUCCAAAUUUUUCAACUUUUUCCUAAACUUUCCAAAUAUUUCUGAUUUAGUCCUGGAUUGAUUCUUUUAUAUUCUUAGAGUCUCAAGGACUCAAUUAAGGGAUGUUAUGAAUGUAUUUGAAUUAAUUUAUAAUAUUUAUUGUAUUAGUGUAUGAAUUGAAUGGUUUACUGUUUCAUUUUUUUGGUAAUGCUUCGUAACUCUGUUACGACACCAAAUACGAGUUAGGGGAGUUACACAAGAUAUUGGAGAGCUGUGCUAUAACUGAUUCAAAGAAGGGUAAUCAACCUUCUAAUAUUGAGAUUUCACCUCUCUUUGGAGGAUUGUUCUAAGACAGUGGAAGAAAGAGAGAACAUGUGAAAUGUUCAUUAUGCUUCAACAAUAGGAAGUCUCAUGUAUGUUAUGUUGUGUAUGCAUCCAAAUAUCUAUUUUGCUAUAGGGUUGGUGAGUUGAUAUUAGGCGAAUCCAAGACCAAGAAAUUGGCAAAUAGUUAUGCAUAUACUCAAGUAUUUACAAAGAAUAAAGGAUUUUAUGCUUGUGUAUUAUGGAAGAGAUCUUACUCUUAUUGGAUAGACUGAUUCUGACUUCCAAACGUGUCGAGAUUUGAGGAAAUCAAUAGCAGGCUGUGUUGUUGUCCUAGGUGAUCUACUUAAUUUGAUACGUCAAACUAAACUUUCUAAUACACUUAAGGAGCUUAUCUUAAAACAAUUUAAGUGUCUUUUAUAUGGUUUUUUUUAUUUUUAUUUUUGUUUUUAAUAAUUUUUUAAUUAGUUUCAAGUCAUUUCUGACACCCAAAUUGGCCAAUUGUGGCAUGGGAAACCUAACAAGUUGAUUAAGUGAUAUAGGGAGUUGACGGUGGCCCGAACAGAAAGAAAACAUCACCUACAAUGGGGUAUCACGAUAUCAAAGCAUGGAAGUGUAAUACCCUUGAAAAAACUGAAAUGAAGAAAAUCGAGGCCGGCUACUAUGACAUCGCGGUACCAAGACAUCUCAAGACCAUCCAUUCCCAGAUUGUUAGGGGUAUCACGAUAUUCAAGUUUGGGUAUCAUAAUAUCGCUGCCUAACGGAUGAAAAAACUGGAAAGGCAAUUUUAUGUCCGACAAACUUAAGUUUAUUUUUCACUUAAUGGUAAAUUAGUCAAUGCUAGAUUACAUAGUAAUAGACUAUAAAUACAACUUUAUAAGCCUUUCAUUUCAAAUUUUAUUAUUAUCCUUACCCGUUAGUUAAAAAAUAAGUUACUUGUCCAAUUGUUAAGUGUUAGUGAAAUUGUCUUUAAAACCCGAGUCUGAAUCCCCUCCCUCGCAUAAUUUUUAUCUUUUUUUGUAUUUUUGCCCAAAAACCCUAGGUGUUGUCGUCCGAUGUUGUAACCCUAGGUACAUAUUGUAUUUUUUUCUUUUCUUUUCAGCCUCAUUUGCUCACCCUAUCUGCGUCCUACCUUCUCUCUUCCCAUCAUUUCUUCAAUAAUUCUUUUCUCUUAUCUUUUUUAUUGCCUCCCCUUGAAACCUCAUAUUUUCUCUUUCAUUGACGUCGUCCUAGUUGAUCAGCCACCACUACUAUUGCCCCUUUUGCUUCUCCUCUCCUUCUCUCAUUUUCUCUCAUUCUUUUGCUGACGAAACCACCAUUCAUUUUUGGUCAAAUCUUUUUUGGCCCUCUGCAAGUGAUGAAUCCAUUUUGUGAUUAUUUGUCAUCAAAGGUCUGAGAUCCGCGAAGUGUAAGUUGUUUAUUAGUCAAAUCUAAAUACAUAUUUCUUUUCUAUAAUGGUUGAAUCUAUCAAGAGUCCAUGGCUAAUUCUCAAAUGUGUUAUUUUUGUGUUUUUUAUUUAAGGUUCAUAUUCAAAUCACUCAGAUCAAUGUGACAUCAAACAUUAUUUGUAUCUUCGUCUUAAGCCGAAAUAGUGUAUGUGGUGAAUCCAAAAAUCAUAUAUGAAUUGCCAUUGUUUUCUCUGAUUUGGCCGAACCUUAUAAGGUGAUUAUUGGCUAAUUUCUAACAAUUUUUCCUUGUGUUAGGUACAAAUUAAACUAGAUUUAAUCAAAUCUGAAGCAUAGGAGCUGCAGACUAGUGUUAGUACUUUAGAUAUGCAUUAUUCAGGUAUGGGUCCUAACUUUGUAUGUUUGGUGAUUGUUGAAAUCAUGUUUGUACUUUAUUGGCAUUGGUCGAAUGUUCUAGGGCCUUAAAGUGUAAAUAACCAAGUGUGUAAGUGCUAUAAGUGUUAACCAAUUCUAUGCAUAUUGUUAUUGGUUGAUUAGCUAAAUGCAUGUUAUUACAUGUACUGUAUUGUUAAGCAUGUUGAUUGUUACUAUAUAAAUGGAUUGCAAAUAUAGCAUGCCAUUGAUUGAUACAUUGUUUAUUGCUUGCAUUAAAAAAAACAUGUCACUGAUUGAUAUUAUUUUUAUCGAAUUAAAUUGUUACACAUGCCAUUGUUAUUGAAAUUGUUAUUGAAAAGCAUGAUAUGCUACACUAUUGGUAUGCCAUAAUGCAUUGCAUGGGGAUUGGGAUUGAUUGAUGAUGGAGGAGGUCCGUGGAGUACCGGCAGUUUAUCCAUCAUAUUAUACUGGCAAUUGAAGUAAUGUUCGGAGUACUGACGGUUUAUCCGCAAAGUACUAGCGAUUUAUCCACAAAUUAUUGGCAGUCUAAUUGAAAAAAUUGUUAAUGGUGGUUUAUCCACAUUGAGCCACGACUCUUACUAUUUUGGUGUUCUAAUGAUGAUCUCUGGGGAACUCAUGGUGUGUAGCAGAUGGAUGGGUAGGAAAUAUACAUUGUUUUCACAUGAGCAUGCCAAUGUAUAUAUAAUGUACUUUUAUGAUGUCAUGCUCUACUAUGAUCUAAGAAAUGUUGCUGGCUGUAUGCUUUACUGUAGUUUGAAUGUCUACAUGUAUAUAUAAUGUUUACUAAGUUUAAGACUCGUGUUGAGCUUUUUACAGCUCACCCCCAUAAUUUUAUCCUUACAGAUAAUCCUUGAGGUUAGGAUCGGACACGACAUUUGGAGGUUUCAUCUCAAUUUUAUUUAAUAAAGCAAUUUAAAUUUUACUUUAUUUUGUUAUGGUUUUUGGGACUGUAAUUUUGUUAAUUUUGGGUUGUGACAUGGGUUCUUUUUAAGGUUGAAUUUCUGCAUGCAUUCAAUUCAUUAAACUGAAAAAACCUAAUAAAUUUGCUUAAUAUCAUACUAAAUAAGGUUUAAAGUAAAAACUGAUGGUUUCAAUUUUUCUGAUGCGAAACAAGGAAAGGAGUUAUGAAAAGCAUACAAAAAAACAAAAAGCAAACAAGUUUACCCAAAAAUGCCACAAGCAAACAAGUUUACCCAAAAAUGCCACAACACAUAUUAAAUUUAGAACCUUAAUAUUACCUCGACUUAAAAUCUGAUGUCUUUUAUAAAUAUAUGACAAUUAAUCUAAGUUUUCUAAAAAUCAAAAAAAUAAAUGUUACGGGAACUGAAUGACUUUAUUAGGCCAUUUCAGUCGCUAAUGUAACUUUCAAUAUCUAAUCAAAAUGUUUGGAUCGAGUUAGGGAGGAUAUCAUUGCGGUUGAAAAUUUGAAGCAAUUGGAAAAAUGCCACAACACAUAUUAAAUUUAGAACCUUAAUAUUAACUCGACUUAAAAUCUGAUGUCCUUUAUAAAUAUAUGACAAUUAAUCUAAGUUUUCUAAAAAUGAACUGAAUGACUUUAUUAGGCCAUUUCGGUCGCCAAUGUAACUUUCAAUAUCUAAUCAUAAUGUUUGGAUCGAGUUAGGGAGGAUAUCAUUGCGGUUGAAAAUUUGAAGCAAUUGGAAAAAUAAAUAUUACUAUUGACAAGAAAGUGUUAUCAAAUGUAAGAGAAUCUCUUGAAUUAUGGGCUGGUAAUGGAAGAAAGUCAAAUAUUGAAGGUGACAUGAAAGGGAUGACGUUGCUUGGUAUUGAUAACAUGGGUGUAAACGAGACAGAUGAAGUGGAAGUAAGUAACCGAGGCAAAGAAGGUGAGUGUGCAAGUCCAAUUUUAGAGAUGGAUCAGACACUAGCGUUCAGCCAUUCAAAUCAGAAUCGAGGUUACGUUGAAACAACUGAGGUGAUAGGUAAAGAUAAUAUGACUGCAGGCAAGGAAUUGGUUGAAAUUACAAAGAGGAUAUUGUAGAGGACUAUAUAGUCAAAGGAGACAACAAAGUUAAGAAAAUUGAGAAAGAAGAAACUAACGGCCUGUGUUGAACACAUUCCGACUUCAAAAACAGGAAGAACACGUUGAAGUUCGGUAAGAUUGCGGAAUUACAAGUUGGUGGAGAUGAGGAUGAAGUUUUGAGACAUUUGGCAGCAAUCAGAGUUAGCUCAGUUCAAAGAAAGUUGAAGUUUUAUUUUGUUUUUUCUUUGAUGUACCAGUCAAUACCCUCAAACUUUCUUCUCUGAACCCUUCCUAAUGUUUCCCAUGAAUCCCCGACGCUAGCAUGCAAACUAUCUUAUGUUUCUCUAAAAUAAGAUCUUCUCUCGAUUUUGGAUGCUCUUGGGAUUCAUUGCCAAAGUCUGACUAAUAGAUGAAACCAUGGUGUUUGAAACUUCUCCCCAUCUCAAGGCUCUAUACGGUUUCUGCAUCUAGGUUUUUUAAACACUAACAAUAGUAUCUUACAUGCUAAGUCUCGAAGGAAACAAAGAAUUCUUUUGGAUCAUUUAUUUCGAUUUUUCUCAUAUGUCUUGUUUCUCUUUGUCCAGAGUUCCAUUAUUUUCAUCCCAAGCUUUCACUAUGAUAAAAAAAUAUAUUAAACUGAGGUGAAAGUAAUGGAGAGCAAAUACAUAAAAAAAUAUAUAAAAUAAAUUGAAGAUGGAAAGUGACUAUCCUAUGCACAUAAAAAUAUUAAAAAUUUGAUAAGAAAUAUUAAAUAUAAAAAAUAGAAUUUAAUAACACGAAAUUAUUUGAAUUAAAUAUAUGUAAUAUUAUUGUAUCGCAUAAUUUUACAUGAUAAUAUUAUGAUUAUAACAAUAAUUAUUACAAUUGCUACUCAUGCACAGGUUUGCUUUCACUAUAAAGAACGCAUAAUAAAAGUUAAAUUUUAAACAUAUUAGAUAAAAAUAAAUAAAUAAUAAUGCAUUUUAUAAUAUUAUUUUUAAAUAAUUUUAAAUAUUAAUAUUUUAAUUAAAAAUAAAUUUGAAAAAAAAAAGUAUGCCACAAAGAAUGAAUAUAUAUACCUUCUUAUAUUGUAUUAUAUUAUUUAUGAUAUGAUAUGAUUUAUUACAAAUGUUUCAAACAACGUUAGUUACCAUUUAAUCUAUAAUUUAUAAGUGUCAAAAAAACUCCUAAAAUAUGAAAGUUAAUCUUUUGUGAAAUGUGAAAAAAUUUUAAAAAAACUAAUAUUUAAUUUACAAUUUAGCAUUUAAAUUACAUUUAUAAAUUAAUUAUUACGAUACUUAAAAUAUUAGUUUAUCUAAAAACUAUUUUACUCAGCCAAAUAUAUAAAAAAAAAGGUAUAUAAAUUAAAUCCUAGCCUUAGCUUUUUUUUGAAAAAUUUCAAAGCACGAGAUUUUCAAAGAAUAAGAAAAAGAAGAUUAAAACACCAUAAUUUUUAUAGAGCGAUUAAUAUCCAUGAAAUUUAAACAAAUUCUCACAUCCGUAGGGCAUUCUCCACCAUGAAACAUUUUAAACUAAAUAUGGCCAUUUUUAGGGUUUUAACUGAUUCAUUUUUUAAUAUAAAUACGGAACUUCAAUAUAUAUUAUUCAAGCUUGUGCUCAAGGGGCCAUAAGUGAUAAGCAAUAAGCAGCCCCACAACUUCAAAUAAGGUUUUCUUCUUUCUUGCUUUCUUUUCUUCAGGGGAAAGAAAGAGAGAAGAAGAUAAUUUUUUUGUAAAAAAGUUGUUUAAAAAUGGCGAAUAAUGCUAUUAUUGGUAUCUGUGCGGUGUUCCUGGUGGCCAUGGUGGUAGCCGUGGUCGUGGGUGUUACGCACAUAAAAAACAAGAACGAUGGUGAAGAGAUAUCGAGUUCGAACAAAGCUGUGCAAGCCCUAUGUCAACCCACAAAUUAUAAAGAGACGUGCCAGAAAAGCUUGGCGUCGUCAAAUUCUAGCGACGUUAAGGAACUGAUAAGGACAGGUUUCCAAGCCGGGCUGGUCGAGAUAAAGAACGUGUUGGCCCAUUCAGUGACGGUCCAAGAGUUGAUCAAGGAUGAGAACAACAAAGCGGCACUUGGUGUUUGCCAAGAGGUGUUGGACUUAGCCAUUGAUGACUUUCAAAAGUCAUUCGACAUGCUAGGGGAAUACGACAUGAGCAAGAUAGGAAAAUACCUUUUAGAACUAAAGACCUGGCUAAGCGGUGCAUUCACGAGUCAACAGACAUGUAUAGACUCAUUCGCGCAAUCAAGCAACGAAUCAUCGCAGAAGAUGCAAUCAAUCUUGAAGACUAGCAUGGAGAUUACUAGCAAUGCUUUAGCAAUGCUUAAUGGGUUAUCCACCAUCGUGAAGGAACUUAACAUUCCAAAUGUCGGCAACAUCGACA
rnacentral:lncRNA from 1 species